rnacentral:rRNA from 1 species
AAUCAACGCUGGCGGCGCGCCUCAGACAUGCAAGUCGAACGAUUAAAGCUCCCUUCGGGGAGUGCAUAGAGUGGCGCACGGGUGAGUAACACGUAAGUAAUCUACCUUCGAGUGGGGAAUAACGUCCGGAAACGGACGCUGAUACCGCAUAAUGCAGCGGCAUCGCAAGAUGACAGUUGUUAAAGAUUUAUCGCUUGAAGAGGAGCUUGCGGCAGAUUAGCUAGUUGGUAAGGUAAUGGCUUACCAAGGCUACGAUCUGUAACCGGUCUUAGAGGACGGUCGGUCACACUGACACUGAAUAACGGGUCAGACUCCUACGGGAGGCAGCAGUCGGGAAUUUUGGGCAAUGGGCGAAAGCCUGACCCAGCAACGCCGCGUGAAGGAUGAAGUAUUUCGGUAUGUAAACUUCGAAAGAAUGGGAAGAAUCAAUGACGGUACCAUUUAUAAGGUCCGGCUAACUACGUGCCAGCAGCCGCCGUAA